rnacentral:rRNA from 2 species
AGCCCUAAGCGGGUGGUAAACUCCAUCUAAGGCUAAAUAUGACCACGAGACCGAUAGCGAACAAGUACCGUGAGGGAAAGUUGAAAAGCACUUUGAAGAGAGAGUUCAAGAGUACGUGAAACCGUUUAGGGGUAAACCUGAGAAACCCGAAAGGUCGAAGGGAGAAAUUCAUUCGCGUUUCGCGAUCGGCGUNNNNNNCGAGUGCGACGGAGGACGUUCGCGCCCGUCCGCGCCGCGGGCCCGACGAACCGGCCGCGAACGCGUGCACUUUUCUCCUGGUAGGACGUCGCGAUCCGUUGGGCGUCGGUCUACGGCUGACGGUGGAGCCCGUGAGCUCGACUCGCGUCGUCGCUCACGGACCCGUCUGUUUCCCGGCCGACUCGCUCGACGGUACGCUAACGGUUUUAGGCCGCUCCCCUCCGGCGAGCGUCCGACCCGUGGCAAGCGCGCCAUUUGCGUCGGUGCGCGGACCUAGCGCCGCGCCCGACCUCUGGUGACUGUUGGCUACGGUGUUCUCGGACAGACCUUAUACCGAUCGGCGACGCUAUAGCUUUGGGUACUUUCAG